rnacentral:rRNA from 1 species
UACAGAGGGUGCUAGCGUUGUUCGGAAUCACUGGGCGUAAAGGGUGCGUAGGCGGGUCUUUAAGUCAGGGGUGAAAUCCUGGAGCUCAACUCCAGAACUGCCUUUGAUACUGAAGAUCUUGAGUUCGGGAGAGGUGAGUGGAACUGCGAGUGUAGAGGUGAAAUUCGUAGAUAUUCGGAAGAACACCAGUGGCGAAGGCGACUCACUGGACACGUAUUGACGCUGAGGUGCGAAAGCGUGGGGAGCAAACAGG